AUGGAAGUGUCGCGCCUCAAAACGUUCAUGAGGAACAAUGCAAGGCUGCAAUCACUUGGACUACCUACAUUAUCAACAUUGUUUGCAAACAAAGCUGUCAUUUCACCUGAAAAAAGAAAGCCCGAGCAUACUUGUGAUGAAUCUGAAGCUGAGUACCAUCCUAACGAAGAGGAUACCAGUGAAGGAGACUCGUCUGAUGAUAGUUUAAUAGAUGAGAGGGAAGUACUGCAAGACUUAAAGUCCACACCAUCUCCUAGCUCAAAGUUGAAGGGGCUGAACGACUGUAAGAAGACCAGUGAGGAAACUAAUAAGAAAAGAUCUACUGCCAUGGCCCCUGGUGGAAUCAAGCCUCGGCCUCCUAAAAGAAUUCAUGUGGAGCUUCCAACGAAUGCGCGAGUCACAAGGUCGAACAAAAGACUAUUACUAGAUGCUGAUGCAAGUCCUCAAAGUGAAGGGGUGUCAGAUCCUAAACAUCAAACACCAAUUGCAAUCCAUGGCGACCGUGCCCAUUCUGAUGAUGACUACUGGAUGAGCAAUGGAUCUGAUCUCAUUGCCCGCCAUGAUGAUGGCAACCAUAUGGACUUCGAAGCUGGUGGGCCACAAUCCUAUGAGGAGACAAGGGAAAGGGGGGUCAAUAUUGGAGAAGGCCUGGAAAGGAUCAGUCGACGUCGGGGGGGCAAGCUGCCGCUUGUCAUUCCAGAAGGGAGGUUAAGGCCGGAGACACCUCUUCUUGCUGCAAAGUUUGCAACCGAAUGCAAUGUCACAGUCAGAGGCCAUGUGCCUGUGUUUAAACGCUGGAAGGAUUACAAGGACCCAGGCGGAAAUGUCCGAGAAGGGAUCUUCCAGAACUUUGUAGGCAAAGUUGGUAACAAAUUUGAGAUGGACGUAAAAGCUGUGCCCGUUAGGAAGGCUUGUACGCAAAUGCUGAAAGCCAAUACAUGUCUUUUGCACUUAAUGGGAGACAAAUACAAGGAGAAAGAACCCACUACACUGGAUUUAUUCAAAGAGUGCCACUACAGCAACAAAAAGAAAGGCUACACCGAUGCUGUGCAAGCUGCAAUUGAUGAAAUGGAAGAGAAAGCCACUCAACCUACAGAAGAUGGCGAACAAUCCAACUCUGCAACCAAGGCUGUGGCUGAAGUUCUUACUAAGCACACUAAGAAGCCAAUGUUUCUUAAGCAUGUGGGGGUCCAGCACGUGCAUGAGAGAUCCAGUCGUAGCGACCGUGAGGCAGAACAGGAAGCGCAGAAGAGGGGAAAUGCUGAGCUUCAGGCCCUUGUUGAAACCUUGAACAAUAAGUUACAGGAAUCAGAAGAAGCAAGGAUCAGGCAAGAAGAAGAAAGGACCAAGCAAGAAGAGGAGAACAGGAAAAAGCAAGCUGAGCUAGAAGCUAAAUUAGACAUUUUACUAAAUCAGAUUCAUCCAAGAUAA
rnacentral:rRNA from 1 species